rnacentral:lncRNA from 1 species
AUUGACGUAAUUCCUUUGAUCAUUGCGGGUACGACACAUUUCCGUUUGAUAAACGGUAUUUGGACGGUCGUGUGCCGUCGACCCAUCUUUCUCCACGUAUAAUUUUAUACAUCCAUGGAACGGAAAUAUACUCAUCACGCCAGAUAGUGUAUUGUCAUUUGAUACGUUAACAAAUUCCCAUUCGCCUCCCAUUGGACAUUUCACCGUGAUGCGUAGACGGUCUUCCACUCGAUCAUAAUUAGUAACAUUGUAUAUUUCCAUCUCUAAAUCCCGAAAUGAGAUAUUGCGUCGGACCGCAACCAAUUCUUUACGGCCACCAAUAUAUCGUGGUACAUUAUUGUUCUCGACAAAAUUUCCGUCCCAAUGGAUAUAGAAAGGAACAAUGUCGCCAGAUAUAGAGUUCUAAAUUUAUAUAUUAACAUAUAAAAAAUUAUUAAACUCAAGACAUAUCACAUUUCUAACAUAUAACAAAAGAGAGAGUAAAAAGAUGGAAUUACUAUUGUACAAGCACGGUCGGCGUGACUACUUUGCCAAUUAAGAACGCAGGAAUGAU